UCAGAUCUGGAGGUGAAAGCCAGCGUGGGAUUUGGCUUCCUCCGUCCUGAUUCCCGUCCUGGCUUUGCCACUUACCUGGGCAGGACAUUUGAUCCUCAGAGCUUGCGUUUCCUUGUCUGCGAGAUGGGGACAGCAAUACCUCCCCGUAAUGAUGGCGGUCGCAACCGAUCAGGUGCUCCUGUUCCACCCGACCUCUGCUCAACAACGGAAGAGAUCCUUAGACCUCAUCCGGUCAUCCGCUGCCUCCAGUGGUCCGUUCAGACUGACCACCCCCAACCAUGUGCCAGGGGUAGAUGAUCUGUCUGAUUUCAGCUGACCAGAUGACUCCUGGGUCCCAGUCACCUUGGAUCAGAGGUAACUAGACAACUGUUUUGGAUCCUUUGUAGGAAAUUCUAUAGACCACAUUCUGGAUCCCAAACCUUGGCUCUGGGAAGACUUCAGGACACAGCU